rnacentral:lncRNA from 1 species
UUAACUGACAAACUCAUUUUUCUACUGGGACAGGAUGCUGUGCUGGCUGAAGUUCCAUUUCUACAGCAAGAAUCCUAUCUGGAAGCACAGAAGUUGUCCUCUAGCCACAGCAGCUCCAACUUUUUUGUUGUUGCUGCUUUCUUCUAUCACCCCCUUCCCCUUUUGACAAAGAUCCAACUGUAGAAAGUCUUACGUAACAGUUCAGGACUACUUCGGUUCUUUUACCGGUGAAAUGAAGCUGUGAUAAUGUGGUAAAUAUGGGGAGACAGCAAGCUGUGGCUCUUGCGGACUUCAGCAGCACUGAAAUGCAACACUGUGGGCUUUGGCAGCUGCAUUCCGUACUCUGAAAUUCUUAUAUCAUUACUCUGGCAAACAAGAAGGAAUUUGCUUGUUUGAUUUAGCUCUGCAGUAAAGGUUCAAAUCUGAGACUGGUAAAGGAAGGAGAAAGCAAAAUAUCCAACCAAUACUGGAACAAUGAACUCUGGUGUUCAAGUUCUGGCUAUGGAACUCCGGGUAAGUCUCUG